rnacentral:rRNA from 1 species
UACAGAGGGUGCAAGCGUUGCUCGGAUUUACUGGGCGUAAAGCGUACGCAGACGGCUUGGCAAGUCGGGAGUGAAAGCCCUGGGCUCAACCCAGGAACUGCUUUCGAUACUAUCAGUCUUGAGUUUGGGAGAGGGAAGCGGAAUUCCUGGUGUAGAGGUGAAAUUCGUAGAUAUCUGGAGGAACACCGGUGGCGAAGGCGGCGUCCUGGACCAACACUGACACUGAGGAGCGAAAGCCAGGGGAGCAAACGGG